AACGGACGCUGGCGGCAUGCCUAACACAUGCAAGUCGAACGAGACCUUCGGGUCUAGUGGCGCACGGGUGCGUAACGCGUGGGAACCUGCCCUUAGGUUCGGAAUAACUCCCCGAAAGGGGUGCUAAUACCGGAUAAUGUCUUCGGACCAAAGAUUUAUCGCCUUUGGAUGGGCCCGCGUUGGAUUAGCUAGUUGGUAGGGUAAAAGCCUACCAAGGCGACGAUCCAUAGCUGGUCUGAGAGGUUGAUCAGCCACACUGGGACUGAGACACGGCCCAGACUCCUACGGGAGGCAGCAGUGGGGAAUAUUGGACAAUGGGCGAAAGCCUGAUCCAGCAAUGCCGCGUGAGUGAUGAAGGCCUUAGGGUUGUAAAGCUCUUUUACCCGGGAUGAUAAUGACAGUACCGGGAGAAUAAGCUCCGGCUAACUCCGUG
rnacentral:rRNA from 1 species